AAAAAAAAAUUGACAGAAUGCUGGUUUUUGUUUACAUUUUGUGAUACAGACUAAUACUAUUUUACAAACAUAAAUACAUCUCAAUAAAUAUGUUAAUAAAAAUGUUAAUGUUACGAAGGUUUAAUAAUAUGGUGACUCAAAUUAACUACAGGUCUUAUAAAAAUUUUGGACACAAAAGACGGCCAACACCUACAAUAACAUUAAUGUGGCAUGGAUUUUUAACAUUUUCGUUUGUGGGAAUGUGUAUUGAAUGGAAAAAGAUAGCAGGUUUCAUAUUUGGUGAUAAAGACAGUAAAUCCAUUACUGAAUAAGAGAGCAAUUAAAAAUUUCAUGAAAAUGAUUAAAAUGGAGUAAACAAUGUAUAAUGGGCUGUUAUUUUUUCCUUUUUGCUUAAUGACUUAAUUGAAUAAAAUACUAUUAAGCACU